ACGGUGACAAUCACCGGGGUAUCCGUGCCAAAUCCCGCAGCUUCCAGCCAGUCGCCCUUGAGGUGGAGGCUGGGGCUGCGGCUGUAAUAGCGGGUCAUAUCAUGUCGGUCUGCGUGGCGGCGGACGUUG
rfam:Brenneria sp. EniD312 chromosome, whole genome shotgun sequence.